UACGUAGGGCGCAAGCGUUAUCCGGAAUUAUUGGGCGUAAAAGAGCUCGUAGGCGGUUUGUCGCGUCUGCCGUGAAAGUCCGGGGCUCAACUCCGGAUCUGCGGUGGGUACGGGCAGACUAGAGUGAUGUAGGGGAGACUGGAAUUCCUGGUGUAGCGGUGAAAUGCGCAGAUAUCAGGAGGAACACCGAUGGCGAAGGCAGGAUC
rnacentral:rRNA from 1 species